AAUUCUAUAUGCUAAUAUUAUUUUUAAUACUACAUGAUUUAAUUUAUGUUAGGCUUUAAUUAUUUAAAUGUGUUAGGCUUUGACAAAUAUUAUUUUGGGCCCUAGUUUUAAUUAAGUCUUCCUUGUUAAUAAUUAAGCCCAAAAGUCAUUUUUCCUAAAAAAAAAAAAAAAAAAAAAAAAGAAACCCAUCUCAACCAUGCGCGUACAGCACCUCCAUUUUGACUCCUUCACCCAUCUCAACCAUGCGCGUACAGCACCUCCAUUUUGACUCCUUCACCCAUCUCAACCAUGCGCCCACUCUUUUGCACGCUUCCUACCAUUUUU
rnacentral:lncRNA from 1 species